AAGAUCAUACUUCACAGGAUCAUUUCUGUAGUAUAUCUUCACAUUUUCUCUACUCAACAGUGGAGUUGAUGCAGCCAUGAUGAAGAGGUAUAACCCUCUUCCCUGAGCGUGAGGACGACUCGUAGACUUGAAUUUAAUUCGAGUCUGCAGUCAUCGAUGAUCGUUCACCUUCCAUACUCUGUAUGGGAGGCCUGGGAAGUGGGUAUUCUGAGUGGU